CUAAGUUUGAUGGCGACCGGCGCACGGGUGAGUAACACGUAUCCAACCUGCCGAUGACUCGGGGGAUAGCCUUUCGAAAGAAAGAUUAAUACCCGAUGGCAUAGUUCUUCCGCAUGGUGGAACUAUUAAAGAAUUUCGGUCAUCGAUGGGGAUGCGUUCCAUUAGGUUGUUGGCGGGGUAACGGCCCACCAAGCCUUCGAUGGAUAGGGGUUCUGAGAGGAAGGUCCCCCACAUUGGAACUGAGACACGGUCCAAACUCCUACGGGAGGCAGCAUG
rnacentral:rRNA from 1 species